rnacentral:rRNA from 1 species
UUGGAGGGCAAGUCUGGUGCCAGCAGCCGCGGUAAUUACAGCUCCAAUAGCGUAUAUUAAAGUUGUUGCAGUUAAAAAGCUCGUAGUUGAAUUUCGGGAUCAAUAUGCCGGUCAUGUCUUGGUAUGCACUGGUAUCUUUGAUUUCUCCCUUCUGACGAACUUUGAUGUCAUUAAUUUGGUGUCAUAGGGAAUCAGGACUGUUACUUUGAAAAAAUUAGAGUGUUUAAAGCAGGCUCACGCUUGAAUACAUUAGCAUGGAAUAAUGAAAUAGGACGUUUGAUUCUAUUUUGUUGGUUUCUAGGAUCGACGUAAUGAUUAAUAGGGAUAGUUGGGGGCAUUAGUAUUCAAUUGUCAGAGGUGAAAUUCUUGGAUUUAUUGAAGACUAACUACUGCGAAAGCAUAUGCCAAGGAUGUUUUCAUUAAUCAAGAACGAAAGUUAGGGGAUCGAAGACGAUCAGAUACCGUCGUAGUCUUAACCAUAAACUAUGCCGACUAGGGAUCGGAUGAUGUUAAUUUUUUAAUGACUCAUUCGGCGCCUUACGGGAAAC